GGCCAUAGCUCAUUGGAAGAGCAUCGGAUUUGCACGCAGAAGGUCCCAGGGUCAAUCCCUGGCAUCUCCA